AGUGAACGCUGGCGGUAGGCCUAACACAUGCAAGUCGAACGGCAGCACAGUAAGAGCUUGCUCUUACGGGUGGCGAGUGGCGGACGGGUGAGGAAUACAUCGGAAUCUACUUUUUCGUGGGGGAUAACGUAGGGAAACUUACGCUAAUACCGCAUACGACCUACGGGUGAAAGCAGGGGAUCUUCGGACCUUGCGCGAUUGAAUGAGCCGAUGUCGGAUUAGCUAGUUGGCGGGGUAAAGGCCCACCAAGGCGACGAUCCGUAGCUGGUCUGAGAGGAUGAUCAGCCACAAUGGAACUGAGAAACGGUCCAGACUCCUAAGGGAGGCAGCAGUGGGGAAUAUUGGACCAUGGGCGCAAACCUGAUCCAACCAUACCGCGUGGGUGAAGAAGGCCUUCGGGUUGUAAAGCCCUUUUGUUGGGAAAGAAAAGCAGCAGGUUAAUACCCCGCUGUUCUGACGGUACCCAAAGAAUAAGCACCGGCUAACUUCGUG
rnacentral:rRNA from 1 species